CGAAAGGCAGGGUUGCUGGAGGCGCGCGUAGGUUCGAGUAGGGACUGGAAUGCGGGCCAACAGUGUGGGGGUUAUUAGGGGGGAGGGUAGGCAGGUCGGAGGAGGGAGUUGGGAGGAAAGCGGCGGCGGUGGCGGCUUCAACAGCAGCUCUUGCCCUUAAGGAACAAUGCCUCCAGUCGGAUCCUGCGUCAUUCUGGCUGCCUUGGCCUUUCCUUUCCUCAGUUGAGCCAGCCACAGCAUGUUCCGAAGAGAUGAUUGGAAGAUGGAAGUGGAGGGUUAAAUAAUGAAAUGCAGCUAACAUUUCGGAAAGUUUCUAAAAGUUGUACAACAUGCCCUACAGCUACUCUUUAAAUCUCCAAAUCAAAUGAGUUUCAGGUGGAGCCUCUGGGAGGUGAUGAGGUCAUGAGAGUGGAGCCUCAUGAAUGGGAUGAGCACUCCUACAAAAAGGAUUCCAGAGAGCUCGCUUGCUCCUUCCACAGUGUGAGGACACAGAGGGAAGGCUCUGUCUAUGAAUGAGAAAGUGGGUCCCCACCAGACAUUGAAUCUGCCGCAUCUUGAUACUGGACUUCCAGUCUCCAGAACUGUGGGCAAUAAAUGUCUGUUGUUUAUUACCUGUCCAGUAUCUUUGGUAUUUUGCUAUAGCAACCCAAAUGGACUAAGAAAACACCAGAGGCCAUACCUAAUAAAAAU
rnacentral:lncRNA from 1 species